AUUUGAACUGUAUUGAUGUGGUACUAAUGACAUGUGGCCCAGAAGAUUGUGGACAUUUUAAGGCCUUUGUUUGUCUAUGACCCCCCACCAUUCAUACCCUCUGCACUCCUCCACUGGGAGGUAAUACAGAUGACUGUAAAUCCUCUCUUGUUGAUGACUGGGUUCUUUCUUGUAUAUUAUUUCUAUGAAGUUGCCGUUAAAUUGCUCUGCCAUUAUUAUUGUAUGAGGUAUUAUUGGUGGGGUUCCCCCUGUGCUGUGAUGGGUGUUUUAUAUGAUGAGUCUUAUCUUUUCUCUCCACUGGCUAUCUGGCUAACAGGCUACACUCUAGACAGUCUCUUCUGCUG
ensembl:lncRNA